AAUUCGCCCUUAGAGUUUGAUCCUGGCUCAGGAUGAACGCUGGCGGCGUGCCUAACACAUGCAAGUCGAACGAUGAAACCGCCCCCGGGCGGACAUGAAGUGGCGAACGGGUGAGUAACACGUGGAGAACCUGCCCCCUCCCCCGGGAUAGCCGCCCGAAAGGACGGGUAAUACCGGAUACCCCGGGGUGCCGCAUGGCACCCCGGCUAAAGCCCCGACGGGAGGGGAUGGCUCCGCGGCCCAUCAGGUAGACGGCGGGGUGACGGCCCACCGUGCCGACAACGGGUAGCCGGGUUGAGAGACCGACCGGCCAGAUUGGGACUGAGACACGGCCCAGACUCCUACGGGAGGCAGCAGUGGGGAAUCUUGCGCAAUGGGGGGAACCCUGACGCAGCGACGCCGCGUGCGGGACGGAGGCCUUCGGGUCGUAAACCGCUUUCAGCAGGGAAGAGUCAAGACUGUACCUGCAGAAGAAGCCCCGGCUAACUACGUGCCAGCAGCCGCGGUAAUACGUAGGGGGCGAGCGUUAUCCGGAUUCAUUGGGCGUAAAGCGCGCGUAGGCGGCCCGGCAGGCCGGGGGUCGAAGCGGGGGGCUCAACCCCCCGAAGCCCCCGGAACCUCCGCGGCUUGGUCCGGUAGGGGAGGGUGGAACACCCGGUGUAGCGGUGGAAUGCGCAGAUAUCGGGUGGAACACCGGUGGCGAAGGCGGCCCUCUGGGCCGAGACCGACGCUGAGGCGCGAAAGCUGGGGGAGCGAACAGGAUUAGAUACCCUGGUAGUCCCAGCCGUAAACGAUGGACGCUAGGUGUGGGGGGACGAUCCCCCCGUGCCGCAGCCAACGCAUUAAGCGUCCCGCCUGGGGAGUACGGCCGCAAGGCUAAAACUCAAAUGAAU
rnacentral:rRNA from 1 species